AUUGAACGCUGGCGGCAUGCCUUACACAUGCAAGUCGGACGGCAGCGCGGGAGCAAUCCUGGCGGCGAGUGGCGAACGGGUGAGUAAUACAUCGGAACAUGUCCAGUAGUGGGGGAUAGCCCGGCGAAAGCCGGAUUAAUACCGCAUACGAUCUAUGGAUGAAAGCGGGGGAUCGCAAGACCUCGCGCUAUUGGGGUGGCCGAUGGCGGAUUAGCUAGUUGGUGGGGUAAAGGCCUACCAAGGCGACGAUCCGUAGCUGGUCUGAGAGGACGACCAGCCACACUGGGACUGAGACACGGCCCAGACUCCUACGGGAGGCAGCAGUGGGGAAUUUUGGACAAUGGGGGCAACCCUGAUCCAGCAAUGCCGCGUGUGUGAAGAAGGCCUUCGGGUUGUAAAGCACUUUUGUCCGGGAAGAAAUCCCCUGCCCUAAUACGGCGGGGGGAUGACGGUACCGGAAGAAUAAGCACCGGCUAACUACGUG
rnacentral:rRNA from 1 species